UACGGAGGGGGCUAGCGUUGUUCGGAAUUACUGGGCGUAAAGCGUGCGCAGGCGGCUUUGCAAGACAGAUGUGAAAUCCCCGGGCUCAACCUGGGAACUGCAUUUGUGACUGCAUGGCUGGAGUGCGGCAGAGGGGGAUGGAAUUCCGCGUGUAGCAGUGAAAUGCGUAGAUAUGCGGAGGAACACCGAUGGCGAAGGCAAUCCCCUGGGCCUGCACUGACGCUCAUGCACGAAAGCGUGGGGAGCAAACAGG
rnacentral:rRNA from 1 species